rnacentral:rRNA from 1 species
CAAUAGCGUAUAUUAAAGUUGUUGCAGUUAAAAAGCUCGUAGUUGAACUUCCGGCGUCCUUCGGGCGUCUGCUUACGAAUACCAAAGAAUACUGAUAAAGUUUACUAUUGGAGGGAGGUAAGACCUUUACCGUUGAACAAAAUAAGAGUGCUCAAGACAGGCUAUCGCUUGAAUAAAUACAGCAUGGAAUAAUAAAAUAAGGACUUAAUACCAUUUUAUUUGGUUAUUGGUAUCAAGUAAUGAUUAACAGGAACAGUUGGGGGCAUUUGUAUUUAAUAGUCAGAGGUGGAAUUCUUAGAUUUAUUAAAGACAAACUAAAGCGAAAGCAUUUGCCAAGGAUGUUUUCAUUAAUCAAGAACGAAAGUUAGGGGAUCAAAGAUGAUCAGAUACCAU